rnacentral:ncRNA from 1 species
AUCUAAUUAGUUAUGCACAUGAAUGGAUCAUUAACGAUAUUCCCCACUGUCCCUAGCUACUAUAUUCUAGAGAAACCACAUCCAAGGGAAUGGGCUUGGCAUAAUUGGUAGGGAAAGAAGACCCUCAUGGUGAUCUUGACUCUACUCCUAACCCAUUCAUAGUUUGGUAAAACUAAGGCAUAGUUUGGGAAAAUCGUACCAUAACAUUUGUCUUUGGGAUUCAAAUUGCUGAUGGAAACAAGUGGAUGUGUGAUUCAAAUUUGAGUCCAAAAACCCUCCCAUAUCGUUAAGGCAUGCGAAUAGACCAUCUACGAUCAUGAUGGUAUAAAAAUGAAUGAGCUUCUCUUGGUUUCAAGAAUAAUGUAUCCUCUACUGAAAAAGGCCAA